rnacentral:rRNA from 1 species
GACGAACGCUGGCGGCGUGCUUAACACAUGCAAGUCGAACGGAAAGGCCCUGCUUGCAGGGUACUCGAGUGGCGAACGGGUGAGUAGCACGUGGGUGAUCUGCCCUGCACUUCGGGAUAAGCCUGGGAAACUGGGUCUAAUACCGGAUAGGAGCCAUUUUUAGUGUGAUGGUUGGAAAGUUUUUUCGGUGUAGGAUGAGCUCGCGGCCUAUCAGCUUGUUGGUGGGGUAAUGGCCUACCAAGGCGGCGACGGGUAGCUGGCCUGAGAGGGUGGACGGCCACAUUGGGACUGAGAUACGGCCCAGACUCCUACGGGAGGCAGCAGUGGGGAAUAUUGCACAAUGGGCGCAAGCCUGAUGCAGCGACGCCGCGUGGGGGAUGACGGCCUUCGGGUUGUAAACUCCUUUCGCUAGGGACGAAGCUUUUUGUGACGGUACCUAGAUAAGAAGCACCGGCUAACUACGUG